rnacentral:rRNA from 1 species
GACGGGGGGGGCAAGUGUUCUUCGGAAUGACUGGGCGUAAAGGGCGCGUAGGCGGAUGGCACAGUCAGAUGUGAAAUUCCCGGGCUUAACCUGGGGGCUGCAUUUGAUACGUGUUGUCUAGAGUGAGGAAGAGGGUCGUGGAAUUCCCAGUGUAGAGGUGAAAUUCGUAGAUAUUGGGAAGAACACCGGUGGCGAAGGCGGCGACCUGGUCCUUGACUGACGCUGAGGCGCGAAAGCGUGGGGAGCAAACAGG